rnacentral:sRNA from 1 species
GCAUCUCGUGCUGAUUCCAUUAUGCGUGUCCACGAUCUGUUCGUAGGCUGUUACGAGAGCUGGGGUUGUGGUGCCUGCGAGGUGUUCGUGGAAUUGCGCGAGUCGAGCAGAACAUAGAUGUUGUGUCACCGAAUACGGAUGUCGUUGCCGGGAAUGCUGGAGCCAUUGUGCACUGCAUAAGAUUAAGGAGAUCUGGUGCAGAUAGCUGGAUCCCAGUUUGCAGUUUCUACUGGGGGAACCUCUUGCUCCAAAUCAAUUUCUAGUUGAUGUUGAAGGUGGUUAAUUGCUCUUGCAGCUUCAGCUAGAUUGGCCGUAUUCGAGAGAGCUUCUGUUGAGUACGGGUGCACUUUGAAUUUCUGCAAAUCAAUGCUUGUGUUUUCACUGCUUGCAGGAGCUUGAUUUGAGUCAUGGAUC